GGGCGUGUGGUCUAGUGGUAUGACGUCUGCUUCGCACCUUUGCGGACUGAACGAACCCUCUCGAUUCAGCAGAAGGUCCCGGGUUCAAAUCCCGACUCGUCCA